GACGAACGCUGGCGGCGUGCCUAAUACAUGCAAGUCGAACGCAUUUUCUUUCACCGUAGCUUGCUACACCGAAAGAAAAUGAGUGGCGAACGGGUGAGUAACACGUGGGUAACCUGCCCAUCAGCGGGGGAUAACACUUGGAAACAGGUGCUAAUACCGCAUAAUUCCAUUUACCGCAUGGUAAAUGGAUGAAAGGCGCUUUUGCGUCACUGAUGGAUGGACCCGCGGUGCAUUAGCUAGUUGGUGGGGUAACGGCCUACCAAGGCUGCGAUGCAUAGCCGACCUGAGAGGGUGAUCGGCCACACUGGGACUGAGACACGGCCCAGACUCCUACGGGAGGCAGCAGUAGGGAAUCUUCGGCAAUGGACGCAAGUUUGACCGAGCAACGCCGCGUGAGUGAAGAAGGUUUUCGGAUCGUAAAACUCUGUUGUUAGAGAAGAACAAGGAUGAGAGUGGAAAGUUCAUCCCUUGACGGUAUCUAACCAGAAAGCCACGGCUAACUACGUG
rnacentral:rRNA from 1 species